GACAGAGGUGCCGAGCGUUAGGCGGAAUCACUGGGCUUAAAGCGUGUGUAGGCGGCUCGUUAAGUGUCUUGUGAAAUCCCCCGGCUCAACCGGGGAACUGCUGGGCAUACUGGCGAUCUUGAGCGGCCUAGGGGCAGAUGGAACAAGUGGUGGAGCGGUGAAAUGCGUAGAUAUCACUUGGAACGCCAAAGGUGAAAACAGUCUGCUGGGGGCCUGCUGACGCUGAGACACGAAAGCCAGGGGAGCGAACGGG
rnacentral:rRNA from 1 species